rnacentral:rRNA from 1 species
CAGUCGCCACGGUAAUACGAAGGGGGCUAGCGUUGCUCGGAAUGACUGGGCGUAAAGGGCGCGUAGGCGGCGAUCAAAGUCAGGCGUGAAAUUCCUGGGCUCAACCUGGGGGCUGCGCUUGAUACUUGGUUGCUUGAGUGGGGAAGAGGGUCGUGGAAUUCCCAGUGUAGAGGUGAAAUUCGUAGAUAUUGGGAAGAACACCGGUGGCGAAGGCGGCGACCUGGUCCUUGACUGACGCUGAGGCGCGAAAGCGUGGGGAGCAAACAGGAUUAGAUACCCCUGUAGUCCCUGUCUCUUAUAC